rnacentral:rRNA from 1 species
GAUGAACGCUGGCGGCGUGCCUAAUACAUGCAAGUCGAGCGAACAGACGAGGAGCUUGCUCCUCUGACGUUAGCGGCGGACGGGUGAGUAACACGUGGAUAACCUACCUAUAAGACUGGGAUAACUUCGGGAAACCGGAGCUAAUACCGGAUAAUAUAUUGAACCGCAUGGUUCAAUAGUGAAAGACGGUUUUGCUGUCACUUAUAGAUGGAUCCGCGCCGCAUUAGCUAGUUGGUAAGGUAACGGCUUACCAAGGCAACGAUGCGUAGCCGACCUGAGAGGGUGAUCGGCCACACUGGAACUGGACCACGGUCCAGCCUCCUACGGGAGGCAGCAGUAGGGAAUCUUCCGCAAUGGGCGAAAGCCUGACGGAGAAACGCCGCGUGGGUGAUGAAGGUCUUCGGAUCGUAAACCUCUGUUAUUAGGGAAGAACAAAUGUGUAAGUAAAUAUGCACGUCUUGACGGUACCUAAUCAGAAAGCCACGGCUAACUACGUG